rnacentral:lncRNA from 1 species
GGUCAACCCUUCUCUUGUAUUUAUUGGCCAUUGGUGAUAUGUCUCUUCGGAUCCCUUUGAAAACCAAAGUUAUAGGAAUAACCCCUGUGUCUCACGUCCUUCCUGUGGGGGGUGGGGGGUGGGGUGGGGAGGGUACAGCCCAGAACCCAGAACCCUUCUCCUGGCUUCCACCAGCCUUCCAGGCCGUCCUUCACCUCGGUGGCAAUUAUCAGCCAAUUAUCUCCCCUGCGCCCUCUCAGUACUUGGCCACUUAAUCCCGUGGCUGGAAGGCAGCCUAAGGACAUCUUUAUAGCCUUGCGCCUCUCUGCUGCAUUAAGUCCCAGCCAUAGCCACAGUGGGGACUGCCCCCUGCUAAUGGGUGGGGACUGGGCAAGGUGGCUGCCGCCCGAGGGGGAGGGUCACCCUGUCAGGCCAGGAGAUUUGAGGUGCCCCCAGCUCGUGCGGUUGAAGGAACCCAAGCUCAGAGCCGGGGAGAGGCCAUCGAAGGCUGCCGGGGGGACAGGGCAGCUCUAGGGGCCCUCCUGAGUAGUGGGCCCUGACGCGGUCGGAAUUGGGACGCACGAGGAUGCGUGCAGGUGGACUUCAAAGACCUUAAACUGAAAAAUAUAUAUCUUCUUAAUGUUUUUAUUUUUUUGUUGCUUUUUAGGGCCACACCGGGCCUACAGAAGAUCCCAGGCUAGGGGUCGAAUCCGAGGUGCAGCUACAGGCCUACACCACAGCCACAGCCAUGCAGGAUCCGAGCUGCCUCUGUGACCUACACCACAGCUCACGGCAACGCUGGAUCCCUAACUCAAUGAGCGAGGCCGAGGGAUCGGACCCACAUCUUCACGGAUACUAGUAGGGUUCCUUACCAUUGAGCCACAACCAGAGCUUCUUAAAACAUUUUUCAUACCAUUUUGAAAGGUCCUUUUCCACGUACAGGUAUUAGAAAAUAUUGGCUAUAGUCCCUGCGUUGUACGGUACAUCCUUAUAGCCUUAGAGCAGCGCCUUGCAGCCUUAGACCCAUCCUCCCAUCGCCACCCCAGAUUGCCCUGCCCCACUGAUAACCACAAGUUUGUUCUCUUCUGUCUGGGAGUCUGCCGAUGUUUAGUUAUAUUUAGCGAACAUAUAUUUUUGUUAUAUUCACUAGUUUGUUGUCUUUUUUAAAGUCCACCUGUAAGUGUCAUCAGAAUAUUUCUCUUCCUCCGCCUGACUUACUUCGCUUAGCAUAAGGCCCCCCAUGUCCAUCCGCAUUGUUGCAAAUGGCAAAAUGUGUUUUUUAAUGGCUGAUUGGUAGUCCAGUGUGUGUGUGUCGUAGCAAAUAUAUAAACUCCCUCUUAUUUUAUUUUAUUUUAUUUUUUUGUCUUUUGAGGGCUGCAUCCUCGGCAUAUGGAGGUUCCCAGGCUAGGGGUCGAAUCAGAGCUGUAGCUGCUGGCCUACACCACAGCCAUGGCAACACCGGAUCCUUAACCCACUGAGCGAGGCCAGGGAUCAAACCCGCGUCCUCAUGGAUCCUAGUCGGGUUCAUUAACCACUGAGCCACCACGGGCGGGAACUCCUUAAGCUACAUCUUCUUCAUCCAUUCAUCUGUUCCUGGACCCUUAAAAGUUGUCCCUAUCUUGGCAAUCAUAAGCAAUGCUGCUAUGAACGUUAGGGUGCAUAUAGCUUUUUGAAUUAGUGUUUUUGUUUUUCUUAUAUAUACCCAGGGGUGGAAUUGCUGGGUCACGCGGUAGUUCUAUUUCGGUUUUUGGAGCAACCUCCGUACUGUUUUCCGCGGUGGCUGCCCCAUUGCAUAUGCCUACCAACAGUGUAGGAAGAUUCCCUUUCCCCCACGUCUUGGCCAGUACUGGUUAUGUGAGCUCUUUUGAUGACUGCCGUUCUGACAGGUGUGAGAUGAUAUCUCCUUGUGUUUUGAUCUGCUUUUCCCUGAUGAUCAGCGGUUUGGGGCAUCUUUUCGUAUGCCUGUUGGCCAUCUGCAUCUCCUCUUUGGAAGAAGGUCUGUUCGGUUUUUCUGCCCAUUUAAAACAACUUUAUUUUUAUUUUUUCAUUAAAAUUUUUAAAUUAAAGUAUAGUUGAUUUCCAAUGUUAUGUCCAUUUCUGUUAUGCAGAAAAGUGACCUAGUCAUACAUAUAUAUAUAUUCUUUUCUCAUACUAUCUUCCAUCAUGUUCUGUCAUAAGAGAUUGGAUAUAGUUCCCUGUGCUGUACACUAGCCCUCAUUGCUCAUCCAUUCUUUUUUCUUUUUAGGGCCACACCUUCAGCAUAUAGAAAUUCCCAGGCCAGGGGUCGCAGGGCCAUACCUGUGGCAUAUGGAAAUUCCCAGGCCACGGGUUGAUUUGGAGCUGCAGCUGCCUGCUCACAGCACAGCCACAGCAACACCAGAUCUGAGCUGCAUCUGCAACCUACACCACAGGUCACGGCAACGACAGAUCCUUAACCCACCGAUUGAGGCCAGGGAUCAAACCCACAUCCUCACAGAUACUAGUUUCCGCUGCACCCACAACAGAAACUCCCACUGCAACAUUUUAAUUUUGCCAUCUUAUGCUCUGGCACCUAUUAUGUGUCAUGCACACAGCAUACAAUCUUAUUAAAUCCGCAGGAGAACGUAGAGACCUGGGAAGAACCGUCCUUCCCGCACAGGCUCAGAGGGGCCAAGGAGCUCAGCAAGUCACACUGAGAAGCCACAGGAGCAGGAAGCAAUGGGGCUCCAAGCCACUGUCCUCUCUGCUGCAGGGCCAGACCCCCCCAUCAGACACAUUCAGUCCCGCUGUGACACCAGCCCUCACACAGAGGCUGGGAGGAGGCAGGGCAGGGGGCUGCAGUGGGAGAUUUCCAAGUGAACUCCACAUGGCCGUGUGCAACCGAGCACUGUCCCCCCACGUUCUCACCUCACAAUCACACGGCCUCUGUGGUCAGACCUUGCACUUGGACCCAAAUCUGUAAAGAUCAAAGAAAUCACAAAGUGAUUCCUGUCCGUUUUUUUUCAAUGUAUGUAGAAAUAAAAACUCGCUUGUUCAAGGAAAAAGCAAGUCCCUGAGUGCAUGGGACCAUCCCGGGUUCUGAUGCUGAUUCUGCCUCCUAGCUGUGUAAUUCCUGCCUCCUUUUCCCCAUUUGUGUGGCAGGGCCCCAACACAUGCCUCUGUUAUGAGUUAGUGAUGCUUGUAAAAUGCUGGGCACAGAAUAGAUGCUAUUAAUGUAACAUGUCACUUCCUAUGCUCUUCCUUUUGAGCAGUGUCUAUUUAAAGUUUUCCAACUGCUCAGAUUUUCUCUCAAAUGAUUUCUUAGACAAUCUAGAUAUGGGACAAGCAAGCAAAUACAGUCUCUAAGAAUAAUAAAUUAUCUAGUGUGCGGCUACUUUUUUACCAAUCUUGCAUAAAGCUAUUUAUAUGUGUUAUGUUGUUUGGUAUUUAUAGGAACCCAGUAUGUGUGUGUGUGUGUGUGGGGUGUGUGUGUGUGUGUGUGUGUGUGUGUGUGAGUGCAUGUGUGUGAGGGGAAACAGAAUGGGUGGGGGUUGGGAGAUUGACUAGCCUUUGGCCCCAGUGAGUAGCCCAGAUUGAAGCGCAGAAUGUUCUAAUUUCUCCACCUGAUACUUGGAAUGAUUUGAAGCAAUGUCAGUAGAACCUGGGAAGAACAGCUGAAGGGCCUUGGAGAGCAUUUAGAAAGAAGUUGGGGAUGGAGAUUAUAAAAGACCAUGCGGCCACAAAGCAAGAAAUUUGUGUUUCUUGUUCUAAAUGAAUAUUAUCCUGGGACUCGAAGGAAAGUGCAGACUAUGCUGCUUCCUCAGAAACAUUUGAGAUAAAAGAUGGCUCUCUGAAAACAGGGAAUUGGUGCACCACUUUUCAAAAAAGAAAAAAAUGUGUGUUUUUCCAAUUAUAGAUGCACCAGCUUAGGUUUUGAUCCCAGGGCAGUUCUAGAAUAUAUCCCAAAACACCUUGAUGAGGAGGCAGUGAAGUCAAGGAUUCAAAAUGAGUUCAUCAAGAAUAAAAAUCAGGGGGAGUUCCCGUUGUGGCUCAGUGGUUAACGAAUCCGACUAGGAACCAUGAGGUUGGGGGUUUGAUCCCUGGCCUUGCUCAGUGGGUUAAGGAUCCGGCAUUGCUGUGAGCUGUGGUGUAGUUUGCAGAUGCGGCUUGGAUCCUGCAUUGCUGUGGCUCUGGCGUAGGCCGAUGGUUACAGCUCUGAUUAGACCCUAGCCUGGGAACUUCCAUAUGCCGCAGGAGUGGCCCAAGAAA